UAGGGAAUCUUCGGCAAUGGGGGCAACCCUGACCGAGCAACGCCGCGUGAGUGAAGAAGGUUUUCGGAUCGUAAAGCUCUGUUGUAAGAGAAGAACGUGUGUGAGAGUGGAAAGUUCACACAGUGACGGUAACUUACCAGAAAGGGACGGCUAACUACGUGCCAGCAGCCGCGGUAAUACGUAGGUCCCGAGCGUUGUCCGGAUUUAUUGGGCGUAAAGCGAGCGCAGGCGGUUUAAUAAGUCUGAAGUUAAAGGCAGUGGCUUAACCAUUGUUCGCUUUGGAAACUGUUAAACUGGAGUGCAGCAGGGGAGAGUGGAAUUCCAUGUGUAGCGGUGAAAUGCGUAGAUAUAUGGAGGAACACCGGUGGCAAUAGCGGCUCUCUGGUCUGUAACUGACGCUGAGGCUCGAAAGCGUGGGGAGCAAACAGG
rnacentral:rRNA from 1 species